rnacentral:rRNA from 1 species
CGGUCCAGACUCCUACGGGAGGCAGCAGUGGGGAAUAUUGCACAAUGGGCGCAAGCCUGAUGCAGCCAUGCCGCGUGUGUGAAGAAGGCCUUCGGGUUGUAAAGCACUUUCAGCGGGGAGGAAGGCGGUAAGGUUAAUAACCUCAUCGAUUGACGUUACCCGCAGAAGAAGCACCGGCUAACUCCGUGCCAGCAGCCGCGGUAAUACGGAGGGUGCAAGCGUUAAUCGGAAUUACUGGGCGUAAAGCGCACGCAGGCGGUCUGUCAAGUCGGA